AAACUGCGAAUGGCUCAUUAAAUCAGUUAUCGUUUAUUUGAUAGUACCUUACUACAUGGAUAACCGUGGUAAUUCUAGAGCUAAUACAUGCUAAAAACCCCGACUUCGGAAGGGGUGUAUUUAUUAGAUAAAAAACCAAUGCCCUUCGGGGCUCCUUGGUGAUUCAUGAUAACUUAACGAAUCGCAUGGCCUUGCGCCGGCGAUGGUUCAUUCAAAUUUCUGCCCUAUCAACUUUCGAUGGUAGGAUAGUGGCCUACCAUGGUAUCAACGGGUAACGGGGAAUUAGGGUUCUAUUCCGGAGAGGGAGCCUGAGAAACGGCUACCACAUCCAAGGAAGGCAGCAGGCGCGCAAAUUACCCAAUCCCGACACGGGGAGGUAGUGACAAUAAAUACUGAUACAGGGCUCUUUUGGGUCUUGUAAUUGGAAUGAGUACAAUUUAAAUACCUUAACGAGGAACAAUUGGAGGGCAAGUCUGGUGCCAGCAGCCGCGGUAAUUCCAGCUCCAAUAGCGUAUAUUAAAGUUGUUGCAGUUAAAAAGCUCGUAGUUGAACCUUGGGCCUGGCUGGCCGGUCCGCCUCACCGCGUGUACUGGUCCGGCCGGGCCUUUCCUCCUGGGGAUCCGCAUGCCCUUCACUGGGUGUGUCGGGGAACCAGGACUUUUACUUUGAAAAAAUUAGAGUGUUCAAAGCAGGCCUUUGCUCGAAUACAUUAGCAUGGAAUAAUAGAAUAGGACGUGCGGUCCUAUUUUGUUGGUUUCUAGGACCGCCGUAAUGAUUAAUAGGGAUAGUCGGGGGCAUCAGUAUUCAAUUGUCAGAGGUGAAAUUCUUGGAUUUAUUGAAGACUAACUACUGCGAAAGCAUUUGCCAAGGAUGUUUUCAUUAAUCAGUGAACGAAAGUUAGGGGAUCGAAGACGAUCAGAUACCGUCGUAGUCUUAACCGUAAACUAUGCCGACUAGGGAUCGGGCGAUGUUAUUAUUUUGACUCGCUCGGCACCUUACGAGAAAUCAAAGUCUUUGGGUC
rnacentral:rRNA from 1 species